GAUGAACGCUGGCGGCGUGCCUAAUACAUGCAAGUCGAGCGAACAGACGAGGAGCUUGCUCCUCUGACGUUAGCGGCGGACGGGUGAGUAACACGUGGAUAACCUACCUAUAAGACUGGGAUAACUUCGGGAAACCGGAGCUAAUACCGGAUAAUAUAUUGAACCGCAUGGUUCAAUAGUGAAAGACGGUUUUGCUGUCACUUAUAGAUGGAUCCGCGCCGCAUUAGCUAGUUGGUAAGGUAACGGCUUACCAAGGCAACGAUGCGUAGCCGACCUGAGAGGGUGAUCGGCCACACUGGAACUGAGACGCGGUCCAGACUCCUACGGGAGGCAGCAGUAGGGAAUCUUCCGCAAUGGGCGAAAGCUUGACGGAGCAACGCCGCGUGAGUGAUGAAGGUCUUCGGAUCGUAAAACUCUGUUAUUAGGGAAGAACAAAAGUGUAAGUAACUAUGCACGUCUUGACGGUACCUAAUCAGAAAGCCACGGCUAACUACGU
rnacentral:rRNA from 1 species